rnacentral:rRNA from 1 species
UACGUAGGGAGCAAGCGUUGUCCGGAAUCAUUGGGCGUAAAGCGCGCGUAGGUGGCCCUGUAAGUCUGCUGUGAAAGUCCAGGGCUCAACCCUGGGAUGCCGGUGGAUACUGUCGAGCUCGAGUCCGGAAGAGGCGAGUGGAAUUCCUGGUGUAGCGGUGAAAUGCGCAGAUAUCAGGAGGAACACCAAUGGCGAAGGCAGCUCGCUGGGACGUGACUGACGCUGAGACGCGAAAGCGUGGGGAGCAAACAGG